rnacentral:rRNA from 1 species
UAGGGAAUCUUCCGCAAUGGACGCAAGUCUGACGGAGCAACGCCGCGUGAGUGAAGAAGGUUUUCGGAUCGUAAAACUCUGUUGUAAGAGAAGAACAAAUUGUAGAGUAACUGCUACAGUCUUGACGGUAUCUUACCAGAAAGCCACGGCUAAUUACGUGCCAGCAGCCGCGGUAAUACGUAAGGGGCGAGCGUUGUCCGGAAUUAUUGGGCGUAAAGAGUGCGUAGGCGGCAAAUUAAGUCAGAUGUGAAAACUAAGGGCUCAACCCAUAGAUUGCAUCUGAAACUGAUAUGCUUGAGUCAAGGAGAGGAAAGUGGAAUUCCUAGUGUAGCGGUGGAAUGCGUAGAUAUUAGGAGGAAUACCGGUGGCGAAGGCGACUUUCUGGACUUGAACUGACGCUGAGGCACGAAAGCGUGGGGAGCAAACAGG